rnacentral:rRNA from 1 species
AUUGAACGCUGGCGGCAGGCUUAACACAUGCAAGUCGAGCGGAGCGAGGGUGCUUGCACCUUAGCUUAGCGGCGGACGGGUGAGUAAUGCUUAGGAAUCUGCCUAUUAGUGGGGGACAACAUUCCGAAAGGAAUGCUAAUACCGCAUACGCCCUACGGGGGAAAGCAGGGGAUCUUCGGACCUUGCGCUAAUAGAUGAGCCUAAGUCGGAUUAGCUAGUUGGUGGGGUAAAGGCCUACCAAGGCGACGAUCUGUAGCGGGUCUGGGAGGAUGAACCGCCACACUGGGACUGAGACACGGCCCAGACUCCGACGGGAGGAAGCGGUGGGGAAUAUUGGACAAUGGGCGGAAGCCUGAUCCAGCCAUGCCGCGUGUGUGAAGAAGGCCUUUUGGUUGUAAAGCACUUUAAGCGAGGAGGAGGCUCUUAAGGUUAAUACCCUUGAUGAGUGGACGUUACUCGCAGAAUAAGCACCGGCUAACUCUGUGCCAGCAGCCGCCGUAACAC